rnacentral:rRNA from 1 species
AUAGAGGCCUACCAUGGUGGUAACGGGUAACGGGGUGUUAGGGCACGACACCGGAGAGGGAGCCUGAGAAGCGGCUACCACAUCCAAGGAUGGCAGCAGGCGCGCAAAUUACCCAAUCCCGACACGGGGAGGUAGUGACAAUAAAUAACAAUACGGGGUUCUUUCGGAUCUCGUAAUUGGAAUGAGUACAAUUUAAAUCUCUUAACGAGGAACAAUUGGAGGGCAAGUCUGGUGCCAGCAGCCGCGGUAAUUCCAGCUCCAAUAGCGUAUAUUAAAGUUGUUGCAGUUAAAAAGCUCGUAGUUGAAUUUCGGGGUUAGUAGGUUGGUCAUGCCUCUGGUAUGUACUGGUCUCACUGAUUCCUCCUUCCUUAUGAACCGUAAUGCCAUUAAUUUGGUGUUGCGGGGAAUUUGGACUGUUACUUUGAAAAAAUUAGAGUGUUUAAAGCAAGCUAACGCUUGAAUACAUUAGCAUGGAAUAAUGAAAUAGGACGUUCGAUCUUAUUUUGUUGGUUUCUAGGAUUGACGUAAUGAUUAAUAGGGAUAGUUGGGGGCAUUAGUAUUCAAUUGUCAGAGGUGAAAUUCUUGGAUUUAUUGAAGACUAACUACUGCGAAAGCAUUUGCCAAGGAUGUUUUCAUUAAUCAAGAACGAAAGUUAGGGGAUCGAAGACGAUCAGAUACCGUCGUAGUCUUAACCAUAAACUAUGCCGACUAGG